GUAAGUAUAUAAAGAAACUAUUACGGAUAAAUAAGCUAUAUAUUAAAGAUGUAAGUCUAAAAUAAAACGUUCUUGGAAAAAUCCAUUUUGUAAACGAAGCGAAUUGAAAUAUCUUAGUAGCUUCAGGAAUAAAAAUCAAAUGAGAUUCCAUAAUUAGCUAUAACUGUUAUGGAAAAGCCUUUAAAGUAAAACGGAAAUAAUCUGUUUGAAUUUAGGGAAACCUUUCUCUAAGGCUAAAUAUGAUAUAUAAGCGAUAGCGAAGCAGUACCGUGAGGGAAAAUUUAGAAAUAGUAGUUUUAUAAGCAGCUCAAGUUUAAUUUAAAAGUAUAAUGAGAGCGUACCUUUUGCAUAAUGGGUCAGCAAGUUAAUGUUAGAUGCGAGAGUAUACUCCUAGAUAAACCAAUUAUUAAUUAAUGAUUAAGUAUCUAAUGUUAGACCCGAAGCCUAGUGAUCUUACCAUGAUCAGGGUUAUAAAGGCCCGAACGGGUUAUCGUUGUAAAGAUAUCCGAUGAAUUGUGGUAAGUUAGUGAAAGACAAAACUGACUAGGAUAGCUGGUUUUCUGCGAAACCUAUAUAAGUAGGUAAUGUAAAUAACAUCAUAGCAGGUACAGAACUGUGAUCUCGGACAAGUUAUCUUUUUUUCUCUUUCUAAAAGAAGAGGAUAGAAAGAUGGUUUUGUAUACAUCGGGGAAUCGUGAAGAUUUUAUCGGCGAGAAUUUGCUCUCGGAAGGGCAAUGAUGGAUUUUGCAUAAUCGGACAUAGUACGAUAAGGUUGUAUGUCUAAAGGGAAACAGCCCAGAACAAGAGUUAAAGGUUCCAAAAUUAUUGUUAAGUGAAAAUAAGGAAGUUUUCUUCAAAUACAACCAGGAAAUAGGCUUAGAAGCGGCCAUUUUUUGAAGACCUCGUAACAGAGCACUGGUUUAACAUUAAAAGUUGAAAGCACCGAAAAUUUAACGGAUCUAAAACAAUAUACCGAAACCUUGUCUAUAAAUAAAUAUAUUUUUAAGAUUUAUAACGCAUCGCGCUCGCUGCGCGCUAAACAUAUUCUUAAGUAGGUUUAUUUAUGGGGUAGCAGAACGUUGGGCAUGUCUUAGACUUAGUAUUUUUAAUAUUAAGUAAGUUUCAACCUAGUCCCAUUAUUCAAACCAAAUAAGUGUUACGCUUUUUUUUAACAAAGAAGGUGGAAGCUCUUAUCUGUUAGGGGUAACGGAAACAGUUGGGAUAAGAUGACCCCAAGUGAGAAUGCUGGCAUGAGUAACGAAAAAGGGAUAGCCCCUCGCCUUAAGCUUAUGGUAUUUAAAAUAAAGUAACGGCCUCUAAGUUUAUAUUUGUCCUAAAGGAUUAAACGAUGAGAAAAUCUUUAGAUAUGUCUAACAACAUUGUGAUAGUUUAAAAAUAAAAUUUUUAAGUGAGUACAUAAUGUUCUGGAAAAAGACUAUUAAUAUUUAUAACCAGACGUAAUGUUCUGGUUGCUCAAGCAAUUGAGCGCGAAACUUUAAAAAAAAGUAUAAAUAUUGUUACAACCGUACCUAGAUACUACCACAAGUAAGCAAGUAGAGUAUACAAAGGCGUUUGAGUUAACAAUCAUUAAGGAACUCGGCAAAAUGACACCGUAACUUAGGGAUAAGGUGUGCCAUCCUUUUUAAGAAAUAUUAAGUUAAGGAUAGGAGGCAUAGAGUGGUGUUGUACGACUGUUUAAUUAAAACAAAGCACUUUGCAUAAGAUGACAAAUCAAAGUAUUGAGUGUGAAUUCUGCCCGAUGUUGGCUGGUUAACGGAUUUUCUUAGCUGACUAAAAUAAGCUAGGUUUUGAAGGAAACCCCAAUCAAUGGCGGCCUUACCGAUGAGGGUCCUAAGGUAGCGGAAUACCUUGGCCGUUAAAUGCGGUCUUGCAUGAAUGAUUUAACGAUACAACAGCUGUCUCAAUGAUUGGCUCAGUGAAAUUGGAAUAACUGUGCAGAUACAGUUUACCUCUAGUUAGACGAGAAGACCCUAUGCAGCUUUACUGUUUGUAGUUAUUGGAUACAAUGGAACAAGUUGUAGCGUAUAAGGUAGUUGAUAAGAUACAAUUGAAACACCUUUACUUAGUUUAUUGUAUAAGUAAUCAACUAGACGAAAGAUGAAGGAAAUUUUUUUUAGUCUUCUGUUAAUUGCUGGUAAUCAGUUAGUCGUUAACUAACUAAAGUGGGGUAUAAAAUAAGUAUAAGAAUACAGGGCUGUUAUAUAAAAGCUAACCGUAUAACCAGUAUAAUGGCGAGUAUCAUCGCAUUGAUAGUAGUAAAUUUACGCUAUUGAAUAUACCUAAAUAUACCUAAUUGACACUUGAGUUAGGCUAAUCGAUUAAUGCUAAUAUACCAGGAAUAGACAAAAGCUAAUUCUAAGGACUCAUGGUUCGGUAGUCAGAAGAGAAAUUACAAAGCUUAUCCUAUAAAAAGAUAUAUAUUUUUAUAUUUGGAAACAUUUGCUAUUAGACAGUUUAUGCGGGGCACAGAUCCCACAAAAAGUACCUGG
rnacentral:rRNA from 1 species